rnacentral:rRNA from 1 species
UACGUAGGGUGCAAGCGUUAAUCGGAAUUAUUGGGCGUAAAGCGUCCGCAGGUGGCUGUUCAAGUCUGCUGUCAAAGCGCAGAGCUUAACUCUGUACAGGCGGUGGAAACUGAAGAGCUAGAGUAUGGUAGGGGUAGAGGGAAUUCCCGGUGUAGCGGUGAAAUGCGUAGAUAUCGGGAAGAACACCAGUGGCGAAAGCGCUCUACUGGGCCAUAACUGACACUGAGGGACGAAAGCUAGGGGAGCGAACAGG